rnacentral:tRNA from 1 species
CUUGAAAUAGCUCAGUUUGGAGAGCGUUAGCCUAAAGAGCUAAUGGUCCCUGGUUCAAUCCAGGGAUUUGACA